GUGCGCGUAGUUUCAAAAAAAUGUUAGGUUGUGAUCCUGAAGUUGGGGGUUAGAAUCCCUCCACCCACC
rnacentral:tRNA from 1 species